rnacentral:rRNA from 1 species
GGUCCUAAGGUAGCGAAAUUCCUUGUCGGGUAAGUUCCGACCUGCACGAAUGGCGUAAUGAUGGCCAGGCUGUCUCCACCCGAGACUCAGUGAAAUUGAACUCGCUGUGAAGAUGCAGUGUACCCGCGGCAAGACGGAAAGACCCCGUGAACCUUUACUAUAGCUUGACACUGAACAUUGAGCCUUGAUGUGUAGGAUAGGUGGGAGGCUUUGAAGCGUGGACGCCAGUCUGCGUGGAGCCAACCUUGAAAUACCACCCUUUAAUGUUUGAUGUUCUAACGUUGGCCCCUGACCGGGGUUGCGGACAGUGUCUGG